GGGGCGUGCGCCGCGGGACUCGAGUCGGGCGUAUCUCUCCGCGUGGCCGACGCGGGCGUGCGUAGUACCCUUCGCCGCCCGUCGCCCUUGCGGCCACUGCUACGCUUCUCUUCUCUGCCUUUUUUGGAGAAAACGCUGUCGCGUGCGUCGUCCAGAGGCUCUCCCCCAGGAGGCAGGCGAAAGAGCGGGGCCCUCCUGGGCUGGAGGAGUCUCGGGUGAUGAAAGGCCCGCGUGUUUCAGGCUGACGUCGUGAGAUGCGUCGUCCCCGCGUCGCGACAUCCCUGGGACCGGGAGGCCCCGUUCAAUUGGCAGCUUUUUCUCCUUCCAGGGAACCGAUGACCCUAGGUUGGCUGACAUCAGUCGCUAGACCCGCAGCCCGCAGGCCCCGUUAGUCCCUGAACUGGCUUUCAUGGCCCAAGGUGUCUGUCAGUACUGCUGGGAAAGCUGCCUGUCCUGGACAUUUGCCAUCUGCUGCACCCAGUCCCGAGACCCCAACUCGGUCAUCCGAAGAAGCCACAUCUCUGGACAGCCCAGGAUCACCAGACACCUGAGAAAGAAGAAAAGGGACUCAGAAGAAACAGAGACGAUAAAGGAAGCCGAAGAAAAAUGAAAACUAAAAUGCCAUUCUCAGUCAAUAAAAAGGAACUGGGGGCUAUAGAGAAAGAAACCUCGGGAUGAGAAAGAGCUCUUAGAAAUAAAACAUGAGGGGAAAGUGAGCAAUUCAAUAGGCUUUUAAGAUGAAGUCUUCCAGAAUGUAUAAUGACAGAACCAGAUAGCUGGAAAACAGAAUAGCAGUAACACAGGUGGGUGCUCUUAGGGCUAGCCUGGCACACAAGGCCUCCACAAUGGAGGGGGUGGAUGGGAGGUGGGGGGCUGGUCUGCCACCACCACCAGGGGAAGCCACAGGCACCACCCUCUGGGGACAGCUUCCCUUGGCAAUAAUGUGCACGCAGGAUGCAUGGUGCCCAGGACUGUUCUUACACACAUUCAUUCAUGGGAUCCUCACAACCCAGUGCUAUGCAAUGGAUACAGCUGUUACCCCAUUUUUACUGAUGGGCAACAUCACAAGGCAGGGAGCAGCAGUAGAAUGGCUCCAGAGCCUGUGUUCUUGCCACCACCAUGACUGCAUCUCAAAAGAGAAGUCCAGGUCAGGCACAGUGGCUCAUGCCUGCCUUCCCAGCACUUCAGGAGGCUGAGGCAGGAGUAUCACUUGGGCCCAGGGGUUCAAGACCAGCUUGGGCAAUAUAGUGAGGCCACGUCUCUACAAAAAGUAAUUUUAAAAAACCAGCUGGGCAUGGUGGCACACGCCUGUAGUCCUAGCUACUAGAGAGGCUAAGGUGGGAGGAUUGCUGGAGCCCAGAAGGUGGAGGUUGCAGUGCCCUGUGAUCACACCACUGCACUCCAGCCUGGGUGACAGAGCCAGACCCUGUCUCAAAAAAACAACAAAAACUCAACAGAAGUCCAACAUCUAAAUAAAUUGUCCA
rnacentral:lncRNA from 1 species